CUGAAUUAGCAACAAAGUAGACAUUCGUGGAUUUCUCAGUAAUCUUGCUUUAUUAAAGGAGGGCAUUUUUUCUUAGAGAUCUUGCUCCCUCAACUUCAAGUAAUGGACACAAUAUCUUCCUUUGCUCCUUGGAUGGGAAUUAACAAAAUUGGUGAGAUGCAGCUCACUAUGGGACCUUUUCAUUUUCAUCUAUAUGCUUUGCCUUUCACCAGACCUCUGAUUUCCAGGCCCCAUGCCCAUCAUGGAGUCCAACAUUGGGCUUGAUCUUGGGACCCUAAGAUCGAGACUGGAGCUGAGAUUGAGCAUUCAAUCUAUUGAGUCACCCAGAUGCCCCUUUCCUUGAUCAAUCUAGAAGAAAAAUGAGUUAAUGAUACAAAGAUGUAAUUAAAUUAAGGAUCUCAAAAUGAGAUUAUCCUGGACCAAUGGAGUGGCCCCUGAAUGAAAUGGCAAGUAUCCAUCAAAGAAGAGGAGAAAAUUGGAGACAGAACAGUAGGCCAUGUGAAGCUGAAGGCAGAGAUGGGAUCAAGGCAUCUGCAUACUAAGGAAUGCUGAAGAUUGCUAACAGUUCCCAGAAGAUAGGAGGGAGACAAGAAAACAAAUUCUCCUUCAGCACUUCCAGAAGGAACCAACCCUGCUGAUGCCUUGAUUUUGGACUUCUGGUCUCCAGAACUGUGAGAAAAUAAAUUUCUGUUGUUUUAAGUUAUCAGGUUGGUGUUAAUGUAUUGUGGCAGCCCUAGAAAAUGAAUACACUAAUUUUCAUAAUACUAGCAUUCAGGUACCACACACAGCUUUCCAUGUGCAAAUUAGAAACAGUCAUUUUUCAUCACCAUAAGUGUCACAGAAAGCAACAGACCAAAUCCAUAAAUGAAAACAAAACUAACAAAGGAAAUAAUAACUCCAACCUUACAGUAAGUUGUUUAGCACAAAGGAAUGGAAAGUGACUGGGUAUCAGGGAAUCUCCACUUCUGAUGUUGCUCUUUCUCUUUUAAAUAGACACUUUAAGAGCUAUUUCAGGUUCGCAAGAAAAUAGAACAGAAUGUAAAAAGAGUUCCCAUAUUUGUCCUACUUCCCAUCCACCCACCCACCCCCUACCCCCACACACGUACAGCCUGUCUAUUAACAUCUGCACCAGAAAGGUAAGUUUCUUAUAAUACCACAUCAACCUAGAUUGACACAUUAUUGUCAUCCAAAAUCCAUAGUUUACAUUAGAAGUCACUGCUGAUGUUGUGUACAUUCUUUAGGUUUAGACAAAUAUAUAAUGACAUGUAUCCACCAUUGAAAUAUUAUCUACAUAAGAGUUUUUCUCCUUUAAAACUCUCUGUGUUCCAGCUAUAUUCAUCCUUCACCCUCUACCCAAUCCCUGGCAGUCACUGAUCUUUUUACUGUUUUCAUAGUUUUGCCUAUAAUGUUUUAUAAUUGAGAUCACUUAGUAUGUAUGUAGUCUUUUCAGAUUGGUUUCUUUCAUUAAAGUUUCCUCUAU